rnacentral:rRNA from 1 species
GACGAACGCUGGCGGCGUGCUUAACACAUGCAAGUCGAACGGAAAGGCCCUGCUUUUGUGGGGUGCUCGAGUGGCGAACGGGUGAGUAACACGUGAGUAACCUGCCCUUGACUUUGGGAUAACUUCAGGAAACUGGGGCUAAUACCGGAUAGGAGCUCCUGCUGCAUGGUGGGGGUUGGAAAGUUUGGGCGGUUGGGGAUGGACUCGCGGCUUAUCAGCUUGUUGGUGGGGUAGUGGCUUACCAAGGCUUUGACGGGUAGCCGGCCUGAGAGGGUGACCGGCCACAUUGGGACUGAGAUACGGCCCAGACUCCUACGGGAGGCAGCAGUGGGGAAUAGUGCACAAUGGGCGGAAGCCUGAUGCAGCAACGCCGCGUGCGGGAUGACGGCCUUCGGGUUGUAAACCGCUUUCACCUGUGACGAAGCGUGAGUGACGGUAAUGGGUAAAGAAGCACCGGCUAACUACGUG